ACUGCAUCUUCUGGGUGGGCUCAGUGUCAUCACAAGGGUCCUCCUAAGAGGGAGGCAGAAAGGUGAGUCAGAUCUAAACCUGUUACAUGCUGGCUUUGAAGACUGGAGGAAGGGGGCUUCCAGCAAGAAAUGCAGGCAGCCUCUAGAAACUAGAGAGGCAAAGAAGGGCCUUCUCUGGAGCUUCCAGAAGGCUGCAACCCUGCAGACAUCUUGAUUUCAGACUUCUGACCUCCAGAACUCUAAGAGGAUAUAUUUGCUUUGUUUUCAUGCACCAAGUUCACGGCACUUUGUUAUUACAACAACAACAACAACAACAACAACAACAACAACAACAGGGAACUGAUGAUAUAGUACAUGAACCUUUCUGGGUUCCAUAGGGCAGAGAAGUGAGGCAUCUGCUUACCUUUGGCAGAAAAAAAAAAAAGGAGACUUUCUGGGGGGCAGCAGGUCAUUGAAAAGAAGGAAAAGUUUAAAAACUGAGUUUAAAAAAAAAAAAGCGUGCCCCAAAGGAAAAAGGGUGCUGUUUCUACCAGAAGAAGAGAGAACACGUAGGCAAAUGGUCUCCUCUCCGCUAUAGUUGGACGGGAUGGUCCCUGCCCGCUCUUCUCUGAAGCUAAUGCCCUGGUGGAUGUUUUGAAUGAACCCAAGAUUUAACUUCUAGAGGUGACUGACUGCAUGUGACGUGAAGAGGCCAAUGCCAUUGGAAAGCAGUUUCCCAAGAGGAGGGGGCAUGCCCCGCCACACAGGCCAGCUAGGAGGACUUUACUGGAGAGAUUCCUUCAGUUGGGCCAAGAGUGAGGCAUCACCCAAAAUCUUGAAUGUAAAGGCAGUGACACCAUCCAGCUAGAUGUUCAAUGAUAACAUCGACACAAAAUGGAUCAAAGCGCCAACCUGAAAAGUCACCCUGGAUAACACCAGCUCUACUCCUAGGCCAGGGUGUCUCGAUGUGAGGAGCCCAGACCUGCUUCAGCUAUGUUGAUGUCUUGGGAGAGGGUGCCUGCCUGGGAGAGAAACCGGCCCAGACAAAGCAGAACCGGACAAUGAAGAGGGAUGGGGUCCAAUGACAUUGAGCCCUUAUGUCACGUCAUGCCUGAAGUCUACUGUAUUACCCAAUAAUCUCCACUUCUCUUAGUGUUUCCUGCAACCAAAGGGAUGCUGGGUCCUGAUGGACGCAUCAAUCUUGCCUACUUCCACUGUGAAAGCCCGAGAGAGGUCCUUUUGCUCACAUCACCCAACUUUAAUCACAUUCAUGUCCUUAACAAUGAUAGUCACAAUGUAAUUAUUUUAUUUAUUUGAUCACCUGUUCUUUCCUGCCUCCCCUGAUAGAAGGCUAACUAUGAGAGAGCAGGAACCUUGUCUGUCUUGUUUAGUAUCAUGUGCAUCCGGCAUGCCACGGGCAUGGAAUGAACAUUUGUUGACUGACUGAAUAAAAGCAUGCAUCACUGCAUGCACUGGGAUAUACUGAAAGUAUCUAACUAUGUAGACAGCUUCCCAACUGGAUCAUCGGUGCCUCUGAAACAGGGACGGUCUUCAUCAUUUUGUUUCUUCACUGUCUGCCACCCACUAGUCACCCAAUAAACAUUUAUUGGUAGACUGCAAGACUACCUUAGCCAAUGUAUGUAUUUCCAAAUUUUCUCAGUUCCGAGCUCUUCGAGUGACUGUGCACAACUUCCCAUUUAGAACUGACUACUGGAAGAGUACGUGCCAUACAGGCCAAAGCAAGUGUUCUAGUCUUUGGGGACAGUUAUCCUCUGAUAUGGAAUCUUGGUUUGUACAUCAGUUUUCUAUGUGUU